UACGAAGGGUGCAAGCGUUACUCGGAAUUACUGGGCGUAAAGCGUGCGUAGGUGGUUUGUUAAGUCUGUUGUGAAAGCCCCGGGCUCAACCUGGGAAUGGCAAUGGAUACUGGCAAGCUAGAGUGCGGUAGAGGGUAGUGGAAUUCCCGGUGUAGCGGUGAAAUGCGCAGAUAUCGGAAGGAACACCAGUGGCGAAAAGCGGCUUCCUGGUCCGACACCGACGUCAGGCACGAAAGCGUGGGGGAG
rnacentral:rRNA from 1 species